UUUAAGGUCGCUAAUGUAGCCCGAGUCUAGUGUAUUUGUCGGUCAAUUGUUGUUUGUUCUAUUUUACAGUUUUAAAUGCAGUAUGAUGUCUGAUGUUUUUAUUUCAUAGUUUCGUGUGCAUAUAUCACUGUUUUAUUGAUUAUGGGUUGAAUGACUGAGAACCCGAUGUUGUGUGUUGUCUUGUUUGGCAUAAAUUACUGGUUUG
rnacentral:lncRNA from 1 species